rnacentral:rRNA from 1 species
GAUGAACGCUGGCGGCGUGCCUAACACAUGCAAGUCGAACGGAGUCCAGCCUUUAAGGCCUUCGGGUCAAAGAGGGGAAGACUGAGUGGCGGACGGGUGAGUAACACGUGGGCAACCUGGCUCAUAGAGGGGGAUAACAGAGAGAAAUUUCUGCUAAUACCGCAUAAGCACACACUGCCGCAUGGCAGAGGGUGAAAAGAGAAUCGCUAUGAGAUGGACCCGCGUCUGAUUAGCCAGUUGGCAGGGUAAGAGCCUACCAAAGCGACGAUCAGUAGCCGAUCUGAGAGGAUGAACGGCCACAUUGGGACUGAGACACGGCCCAAACUCCUACGGGAGGCAGCAGUGGGGGAUAUUGCACAAUGGGGGGAACCCUGAUGCAGCGACGCCGCGUGAGUGAAGAAGUAUUUCGGUAUGUAAAGCUCUAUCAGCAGGGAAGAUAAUGACAGUACCUGAAUAAGAAGCCCCGGCUAACUACGUG